rnacentral:tRNA from 1 species
GGGGAUUUGGCUCAGUGGUAGAGUGCUUGCCUAGCAAGCACAAGGCCCUGGGUUCAGUCCCCA